rnacentral:rRNA from 1 species
UACAGAGGUCCCAAGCGUUGGUCGGAUUCAUUGGGCGUAAAGGGUGCGUAGGUGGCGCCAUAAGUCAGGUGUGAAAUUUCGGAGCUUAACUCCGAAACUGCAUUUGAUACUGUGGUGCUUGAGGACUGGAGAGGAGACUGGAAUUUACGGUGUAGCAGUGAAAUGCGUAGAGAUCGUAAGGAAGACCAGUGGCGAAGGCGAGUCUCUGGACAGUUGCUGACGCUGAGGCACGAAGGCCAGGGGAGCAAACGGG